GACGAACGCUGGCGGCGUGCUUAACACAUGCAAGUCGAACGGAAAGGCCCUGCUUUUGUGGGGUGCUCGAGUGGCGAACGGGUGAGUAACACGUGAGUAACCUGCCCUUGACUUUGGGAUAACUUCAGGAAACUGGGGCUAAUACCGGAUAGGAGCUCCUGCUGCAUGGUGGGGGUUGGAAAGUUUCGGCGGGUGGGGAUGGACUCGCGGCUUAUCAGCUUGUUGGUGGGGUAGUGGCUUACCAAGGCUUUGACGGGUAGCCGGCCUGAGAGGGUGACCGGCCACAUUGGGCCUGAGAUACGGCCCAGACUCCUACGGGAGGCAGCAGUGGGGAAUAUUGCACAAUGGGCGGACGCCUGAUGCAGCAACUCCGCGUGCGGGAUGACGGCCUUCGGGUUGUAAACCGCUUUCGCCUGCGACGAAGCGUGAGUGACGGUAAUGGGUAAAGAAGCACCGGCUAACUACGUG
rnacentral:rRNA from 1 species